CCUACGGGAGGCUGCAGUGGGGAAUAUUGCACAAUGGGGGAAACCCUGAUGCAGCAACGCCGCGUGAGUGAAGAAGUAUUUCGGUAUGUAAAGCUCUAUCAGCAGGGAAGAAAAUGACAGUACCUGACUAAGAAGCCCCGGCUAACUACGUGCCAGCAGCCGCGGGAAUACGUAGGGGGCAAGCGUUAUCCGGAUUUACUGGGUGUAAAGGGAGCGUAGACGGCUGCGCAAGUCAGAAGUGAAAGCCCGGGGCUCAACCGCGGGACUGCUUUUGAAACUGUGUAGCUAGAGUGCAGGAGAGGUAAGUGGGAUUCCUAGUGUAGCGGUGAAAUGCGUAGAUAUUAGGAGGAACACCGGUGGCGAAGGCGGCUUACUGGACUGUAACUGACGUUGAGGCUCGAAAGCGUGGGGAGCAAACAGGAUUAGAUACCCGGGUAGUC
rnacentral:rRNA from 1 species